UACGGAGGAUGCGAGCGUUAUCCGGAUUUAUUGGGUUUAAAGGGUGCGUAGGCGGGCUUUUAAGUCAGCGGUAAAAAUUCGGGGCUCAACCCCGUCCGGCCGUUGAAACUGGGGGUCUUGAGUGGGCGGGAAGUACGCGGAAUGCGUGGUGUAGCGGUGAAAUGCAUAGAUAUCACGCAGAACUCCGAUUGCGAAGGCAGCGUACCGGCGCCCUACUGACGCUGAAGCACGAAGGCGUGGGUAUCGAACAGG
rnacentral:rRNA from 1 species